GAAAGUGUCACAGUUCAACUCCAAAGCUAUGAAUGACUGCAGAACUGCAAACGCCUAGUGUUCUUGUACAUGAAGCGGCAGGACUGAGAUAAGUUAGGGACACUGCUUGGUCCGUUUUAGGACUUUUGCCAACGUCGAAAUAACUUUUGGUCAACAAUUAAUAAUUCAACCAACUUGUUCCUGUGCUAGCGCAAACCAGAAAUCUCCUGCACUACUUAUAAUAAUGGAUUUCGUUGGAUGAGACGGAUGUGUCAUGAGACCGAGGUGAGAUGAACUACCGUUUGAAAUAAUUGACAGAAGACCACAUGGUGGUGGCCGUGGCUGUGUGCUGACCGACCAGCAGGAGUGGGCCGUGGUGGAAAUGGUGAGGGCCAGGAAUGUCCGAAAUAAAGCAUGCCAUUGAGGAGAACGAUGACACCGUUGUAAAUGUGGUAUCCAUCAGCCGACCAACAAUCGCCCGCCUUUUGAAGAGUCACCAGCAGGCUUCAACCUGGCGAAAACUCAGCGCCAUGGGCGGAACCUCAUUGGCCAACGGGUGACCGUCCAAGUGCCAGGUGGGGGAAACAUCUCCAUGUGUGCAGCUAUCUCUGAAGACGGUGUGGUAGGACGUAGGCCAUUACUUGGAUCCUACAACGCUGCACACCUCAUUGUGUAAAUUGAGCAGGCCUGUCAAGGUGAAGGGGUCACCUAUUUCAUUGCGUUGGACAAUGUUAGGUUUCACCAUGCAGAGGUGGUUCAGUCAUGGUAUGGGCCCAUCCCUGAUUCGUAACUCUAUAUCUGCCCCCAUACUCUCCUUUCCUCAACCCUAUUGAGGAUUAAUUUUCAGCAUGGAGGUGGAAGGUGUACGAUCACCAUCCCCAUGAGCGUGCCACCCUCCUUCUGGCAAAAGUUUUUUCCUGCGGUGCAUGAACAAUGAGGACAUUCACUGUGAUGUGGAUGAGAAUUUAUGGCCAAAUGCUCAAGACAGGAUUGAUGCAAAUUAAUGUGUGCUAAAUGUUAGGUUUUAUUUUCAUUCAUUUAAUUUGUUUCAUUUAAUUUCUUACAUUUGAUUACAGACAGUAAACCUAUGUUGCAAUUAUAUCUGAAAUA